UUAUUAUUAUUAUUAUUAUUAUUAACUUCAUCACGGAUUUAUUUUGAAAUCUGGAACCGGAAGUUGUGGUUGUAUAUCCGCUCUCUUCCUGAACGGAGAAAUAAAUAAAUAAAAUCGACACGAGCGGCAGGUAAACAGACAGGUGAACAGACAGGUGAACAGACAGGUAAACAGACAGGUGAACAGACAGACGGGUGAACAGACAGGUAAACAGACAGGUGAACAGACAGGUGAACAGACAGGUGAACAGACAGGUGAACAGACAGGAGAACAGACGGGUGAACAGACAGGUAAACAGACAGGUGAACAGACAGGUGAACAGACAGGUGAACAGACAGACGGGAGAACAGACAGGUGAACAGACAGGUGAACAGACAGGUGAACAGACAGGUGAACAGACAGACAGGUGAACAGUCAGGUGAACAGACAGGAGAACAGACAGGUAAACAGACAGGUGAACAGACAGGUGAACAGACUCACCUGUCCUGUACAGAAGCACCUGAGUGUGUCUCCUCUGGCUC